rnacentral:rRNA from 1 species
UACGAAGGGGGCUAGCGUUGCUCGGAAUUACUGGGCGUAAAGGGCGCGUAGGCGGAUAUUUAAGUUAGAGGUGAAAGCCCAGGGCUCAACCCUGGAAUAGCCUUUAAUACUGGAUAUCUUGAGUUCGGGAGAGGUGAGUGGAACUCCGAGUGUAGAGGUGAAAUUCGUAGAUAUUCGGAAGAACACCAGUGGCGAAGGCGACUCACUGGCCGAUACUGACGCUGAGGCGCGAAAGCGUGGGGAGCAAACAGG